UGUACAUGUAUUUACUCGUUGGUUCAAAAAUCUUUACGUGAUACAAACAUAAUAAAAAAGAACUAAAAUCAAAAUUAAUUUCAGAAUAUCUACGCACCAAACAACCAGGGCAAUAUUAUCUAUAAUUAUGUGCAAAGGUUAAGUUCGCUCACAAAGAAACUUGAUGAGGCCAAGUUAAACAAAGGGGAAAAAAAGGUAUU